UAAUUGCUUGCAUGUGU
rnacentral:miRNA from 1 species